rnacentral:rRNA from 1 species
CCUACGGGGGGCUGCAGUGGGGAAUAUUGGACAAUGGGGGCAACCCUGAUCCAGCCAUGCCGCGUGUGUGAAGAAGGCCCUCGGGUUGUAAAGCACUUUCAGUGAGGAAGAACGCCUGGUGGUUAAUACCCAUCAGGAAAGACAUCACUCACAGAAGAAGCACCAGCUAACUCCGUGCCAGCAGCCGCGGUAAUACGGAGGGUGCGAGCGUUAAUCGGAAUUACUGGGCGUAAAGCGCGCGUAGGUGGCUUGAUAAGCCGGUUGUGAAAGCCCCGGGCUCAACCUGGGAACGGCAUCCGGAACUGUCAAGCUAGAGUGCAGGAGAGGAAGGUAGAAUUCCCGGUGUAGCGGUGAAAUGCGUAGAGAUCGGGAGGAAUACCAGUGGCGAAGGCGGCCUUCUGGACUGACACUGACACUGAGGUGCGAAAGCGUGGGUAGCAAACAGGAUUAGAUACCCUGGUAGUC